CCUACGGGAGGCUGCAGUAGGGAAUAUUGCUCAAUGGGGGAAACCCUGAAGCAGCAACGCCGCGUGAGGGAUGAAGGUUUUAGGAUUUUAAACUCCUUUUGUGAGGGAAGAUAAUGACGGUAUCUCACGAAUAAGCACGGGCUAACGCCGUGCGAGCAGCGGCGGGAAUACGGAGGGUGCAAGCGUUACUCGGAAUCACUGGGCGGAAAGAGUGCGCAGGCGGGCUUGUAAGUCAGAUGUGAAAUCCUGUAGCUUAACUACAGAACUGCAUUGGAAACUAUGAGUCUAGAGUGUGGGAGAGGUAGGUGGAAUUCUUGGUGUAGGGGUAAAAUCCGUAGAUAUCAAGAGGAAUACUCAUUGCGAAGGCGACCUACUGGAACAUUACUGACGCUCAUGCACGAAAGCGUGGGGAGCAAACAGGAUUAGAUACCCUAGUAGUC
rnacentral:rRNA from 1 species